rnacentral:rRNA from 1 species
AACGAACGCUGGCGGCAUGCCUAACACAUGCAAGUCGAACGAGACCUUCGGGUCUAGUGGCGCACGGGUGCGUAACACGUGGGAAUCUGCCCUUUGCUUCGGAAUAACAGUUAGAAAUGACUGCUAAUACCGGAUGAUGUCGCAAGACCAAAGAUUUAUCGGCAAAGGAUGAGCCCGCGUAGGAUUAGGUAGUUGGUGGGGUAAAGGCCUACCAAGCCGACGAUCCUUAGCUGGUCUGAGAGGAUGAUCAGCCACACUGGGACUGAGACACGGCCCAGACUCCUACGGGAGGCAGCAGUGGGGAAUAUUGGACAGUGGGCGAAAGCCUGAUCCAGCAAUGCCGCGUGAGUGAUGAAGGCCUUAGGGUUGUAAAGCUCUUUUACCAGGGAUGAUAAUGACAGUACCUGGAGAAUAAGCUCCGGCUAACUCCGUG